GACGUAGGGGGCAAGCGUUGUCCGGAAUCAUUGGGCGUAAAGCGCUCGUAGGCGGAUCAGUAAGUCUGUGAAGAAAGACCCGGGCUCAACUCGGGGAACGGCAUGGAUACUAUUGAUCUUGAGGUAAUCAGAGGAUGGCGGAAUUCCAGGUGUAGCGGUGAAAUGCGUAGAUAUCUGGAGGAACACCUGUGGCGAAGGCGGCUAUCUGGUCCAAUUCUGACGCUGAGGCGCGAAAGGUAGGGGAGCAAACAGG
rnacentral:rRNA from 1 species